AUACUUACCUGCCAGGGGAGAUACCAUGAUCACAAAGAUGGUUUUCCCAGGGCGAGGUUUAUCCCUUGCACUUCCAAUGUGCUGACCCCCUGAGAUCAAAUGUGGGAACCUCGACUACAUAAUUUGUGGUAGUAGUGGAAAAGAAAAAAAAAAAAAUGAGGGUAGACCAGAGCCCUUC
rnacentral:snRNA from 1 species